UACAGAGGGGGCAAGCGUUGUUCGGAAUUACUGGGCGUAAAGGGCGCGUAGGCGGCCUGCUAAGUCGAACGUGAAAUCCCUGGGCUUAACCCAGGAACUGCGUCCGAUACUGGCAGGCUUGAAUCCGGGAGAGGGAUGCGGAAUUCCAGGUGUAGCGGUGAAAUGCGUAGAUAUCUGGAGGAACACCGGUGGCGAAGGCGGCAUCCUGGACCGGCAUUGACGCUGAGGCGCGAAAGCUAGGGGAGCAAACGGG
rnacentral:rRNA from 1 species